GACGAAGGGGGCUAGCGUUGUUCGGAAUUACUGGGCGUAAAGCGCACGUAGGCGGCCUUUCAAGUCGGAUGUGAAAGCCCCGAGCUUAACUCGGGAACUGCAUUUGAUACUGUUGGGCUAGAGACCGGGAGAGGAUAGCGGAAUUCCCAGUGUAGAGGUGAAAUUCGUAGAUAUUGGGAAGAACACCAGUGGCGAAGGCGGCUAUCUGGACCGGUACUGACGCUGAGGCGCGAAAGCGUGGGGAGCAAACAGG
rnacentral:rRNA from 1 species